AUGGGGCGCACCAGGCGCGAAACUUUUGCAAUGCGCGAAAGCGUGACAAAGCCAUCCCGAGUGCCAUCCGCUGAGGGUGGCUUUUCCACAGUCUAAAAAGCUGUGGGAAUAAGGGGAGGGUAAGUCGGGUGUCAGCCGCCGCGGUAAUACCCGCUCCCCGAGUGGUGGGGGCUUUUACUGAGCUUAAAGCGCCCGUAGCCGGUCAUAUGUGUCUCCAGUUAAAUCCAGCAGCCUAACUGCUGGGCCGCUGGAGAUACUACAUGACUUGGAGGCGGGAGAGGCUGCCGGUAGUCCUGGGGUAGGAGUGAAAUCCUCUGAUCCCAGGAGGACCUGCAGUGGCGAAGGCGCUCGACUGGGACGCGCUCGACGGUGAGGGACGAAAGCUAGGGGAGCGAACCGGAUUAGAUACCCGGGUAGUCCUAGCCGUAAACGAUGUGGACUAAGUGUUAGGGCGGCCACGAGCUGCCCUAGUGCUGAAGGGAAGCCGUUAAGUCCACCGCCUGGGGAGUACGGCCGCAAGGCUGAAACUUAAAGGAAUUGGCGGGGGAGCACGGAACUUGUGAGCUAAAAGGCUAGGCUAAAAAGGGCUAGAACUGUAAAAAGGCUGCCGCUUGCUGACUAAUCAUAGGACUCCGUGUCCUCUCCUUGGA
rnacentral:rRNA from 1 species